AAUGAACGCUGGCGGCGUGGAUAAGACAUGCAAGUCGAACGAGGAACAAUAAAGCUUGCUUUAGAGUUCCUAGUGGCGGACGGGUUAGUAACACGUGAGUAACUUGCCUCAAAGAGGGGGAUAGUCCUGGGAAACUGGGUUUAAUACCGCAUAUGCUCUAAGGAGUAAAGAGGGCUUCGGCACUCGCUUUGAGAUAGGCUCGCGUCCUAUCAGUUAGUUGGUGAGGUAAUGGCUCACCAAGGCAACGACGGGUAGUUGGUCUGAGAGGAUGAUCAGCAACACUGGAACUGAGACACGGUCCAGACACCUACGGGUGGCAGCAGUCGAGAAUCAUUCACAAUGGGGGAAACCCUGAUGGUGCAACGCCGCGUGGAGGAAGAAGGCCCUAGGGUCGUAAACUCCUGUCAUAAUAGAGUAAGGCAUAGUCGUUAAUAGCUGCUAUGUUUGAUAGUAUAUUAAGAGGAAGGGACGGCUAACUUCG
rnacentral:rRNA from 1 species